rnacentral:rRNA from 1 species
GAUGAACGCUGGCGGCGUGCCUAAUACAUGCAAGUCGAGCGAACAGAUAAGGAGCUUGCUCCUUUGACGUUAGCGGCGGACGGGUGAGUAACACGUGUGUAACCUACCUAUAUGACUGGUAUAACUCCGGGAAACCGGGGCUAAUGCCGUAUAACAUUUAGAACCUCAUGGUUCUUAUGUGAAUGAUGUUUUUACUAUCACUUAUAGAUGGACCCGCGCGGUAUUAGCUAGUUGGUAAGUUAACGGCUUACCAAGGCAACGAUACGUAGCCGACCUGAGAGGGUGAAAGGCGAAACUGGAACUGAGACACGGUCCAGAGGACUACGGGAGGAAGCAGAAGGGAAUAGUACGAAAUGGGCGAAAGCAUGACGGAGCAACGCCGAGUGAGUGAUGAAGGUGUUCGGAUCGUAAAACUAUGUUAUUAGGGAAGAAAAAAUGUGUAAGUAACUGAGCACGUAUUGACGGUAACUAAUCAGAAAGCCACGGCUAACUACGUG